rnacentral:rRNA from 1 species
UAGGGAAUCUUCCGCAAUGGGCGAAAGCCUGACGGAGCAACGCCGCGUGAGUGAUGAAGGUCUUCGGAUCGUAAAACUCUGUUAUUAGGGAAGAACAAAUGUGUAAGUAACUAUGCACGUCUUGACGGUACCUAAUCAGAAAGCCACGGCUAACUACGUGCCAGCAGCCGCGGUAAUACGUAGGUGGCAAGCGUUAUCCGGAAUUAUUGGGCGUAAAGCGCGCGUAGGCGGUUUUUUAAGUCUGAUGUGAAAGCCCACGGCUCAACCGUGGAGGGACAUUGGAAACUGGAAAGCUUGAGUGGAGAAGAGGAAAGUGGAAUUCCAUGUGUAGCGGUGAAAUGCGCAGAAAUAUGGAGGAACAAAAGUGGCGAAGGCGACUUUCUGGUCUGUAACUGACGCUGAUGUGCGAAAGCGUGGGGAUCAAACAGG